GACGUAGGGGCCAAGCGUUGUCCGGAUUUAUUGGGCGUAAAGAGCUCGUAGGCGGUUGGGUAAGUCGGGUGUGAAAACUCCAGGCUCAACUUGGAGAUGCCACCCGAUACUGCUCUGACUUGAGUUCGGUAGGGGAGUGGGGAAUUCCUGGUGUAGCGGUGAAAUGCGCAGAUAUCAGGAGGAACACCGGUGGCGAAGGCGCCACUCUGGGCCGAAACUGACGCUGAGGAGCGAAAGCGUGGGUAGCAAACAGG
rnacentral:rRNA from 1 species